AAAACGUACUUGUAAGAGAAAAAAAACGUAACAAUAAUGAACUAUUCAAGGAUAUUCCUAAAAAAAAAAAAGUAUACGCCCUCAAAAAAAUCAAUGUAAUAUUAUAGUGUUUUAACACAUUAUUCGAAUUGCCAAAAAACCAAAACUCAAAUCUUAUAGACAAUAAUAGUAUAUUAGUACACCUAUCCUAUUUUAUUCGAUGAAAAAUUUCAGUAAUAAUUAUGAACCUUUUUAUUAUGGUUUUAUAUUACAGGAAGCAACGAGCAUAUUAUUUUAAUAACAUAGUCGAGUUUUCGAAAAAAACGUUCAUAUUAAAACGCGUGUAAGGUUUAUUUUUUAAUAAGGGAACGUUUUUGACGUGCACACUAUGUACAUUUUACUUUGCGGGACAAUGUUUAGUGAAUAUCCACUACGUGUACCUAACCUAACCUAAGCUUACCUCCCUAUCCCUUAAAAAAAGCUCCAUGAGCAGGUAGACUAAAACUUCACCUUUACUUCCCCCCCUUCUAAAGAGAGCGUUUCCUAAAUAAAUAAUUGUAUUUUGUUACAAAAUCGACUAAUUAUAUUUAUUUUUUUUUAGUGGACACACUGCAGUAAGCAAAAUUUUACUCUACUGGGUGUCCAAUGGGUUUAAUGCGUGUUUAUUUGAACACAGAAAACCUUACGAAACGCCCUAUGAUAUUGAGUUCAAUUCCACUAUAUUGACUACGGCGACGUUCAAUACUGUGCAUUAUUUCAUUACAAAGCUUCGGAUUGCCAAAAAAAAAAAAAAGA